rnacentral:rRNA from 1 species
GUGCCAGCAGCCGCGGUAAUACGUAGGGCGCGAGCGUUGUCCGGAAUUAUUGGGCGUAAAGAGCUCGUAGGCGGCUGGUCGCGUCUGUCGUGAAAUCCUCUGGCUUAACUGGGGGCUUGCGGUGGGUACGGGCCGGCUUGAGUGCGGUAGGGGAGACUGGAACUCCUGGUGUAGCGGUGGAAUGCGCAGAUAUCAGGAAGAACACCGGUGGCGAAGGCGGGUCUCUGGGCCGUUACUGACGCUGAGGAGCGAAAGCGUGGGGAGCGAACAGGAUUAGAUACCCCGGUAGUCC